UAAUGAGGGACUCCGUGAUGGUGUCCACACUUUCGCUGGUCUGGAAUGGGGUGGAUCAGUGUGUUCCACAUAACGGGAGACACCAUGAUAUCAUCUACAUGUGUGCUUGUUUUAAAGGGGCUGGAUUGGCGUGUUCCAAGUGAUGAAGUACCCCCCAACGUUGUCCACAGGUGUGCUUGUCUGGAAAGGACAGGACUGGCAUGUUCCCUGUAAUCAGGGACCCCACGAUGGCAUCCACAGUUGUGCUUGUCUGGAAUGUUCUGGAGUGGCGUGCUCCCUGUGAUGAGGGAACCAGCAUCAUCGUCCACAAGUAUGCCUUUAUGGAAUGGGCUGGAGUGGCAUGUUCCCCACGACGAGCACCACAUGUUGGGGUCCACAGAUGUUCAAGGUUUUUCUGCACACUCAUUCAAGAGAUGCAUGAUAGAGACAUAAAUGGAAAAAAUGAAGAAAAUGACUCAGCAUAUAGGGGCUCAGGAGAGAAGUGAAUGUUAUGAAAAUAGACCAAAUGGGAAUCCUACAACUGGAAAGUAAAAUAACCAAAGAACAAUUCACUAGAUAAGUAUAACAAGAAUAAAUAAUGCCAGAAGAAUCAGAAAGUGGACCCAAAGAUGGAGUGGGGGGAGGCAAAAUGGGAAGGGAAGCAGAAGGUAAAAGAACUGAGCUGUGUUAUGUGCAUGUACUGAUUCUCCAUGCUGAAUGCAAUCAUUGUACACUGCAACCAUCCAUCAUUAAAAAAUUUAAAAAUUAAAAAAGAACUUUCCUAAAGAAAACAUGACUGAUGGAAAUGAAGACCUUAGAAAUUUGUAGAUCAUUAUUAGAUACAGCAACAAAUGUGUAUGAGAAUCACAAAAAGGAUAGAAGAUACAUGAGAAAAUAUUAGCAAAACCUUUUCAAAUGCAAUGAAACACAAUAAUGCACAAAGAAAGUCUAUGAAACGCCUUUAAGUGAAACACAAAAAAUCCUUUGCUCGUUUCAAAUUAAACACCCAUAUAUGAUGAAAAAGUAAAGUCUCUAAGAAAAAAACUCAUUGUACAUAGGGAAACACUAAUCAUACAAAAACAAACUUUUUGACAUAACCAAUGAAGAAUACAUGAUUGUGGAAUGAUAUAUUCUCAUGUUCAUUGAGAAAAAAUAAAUCUGGCAAAAAUUUGAUGUUCAAUGAUAAUGUACUUUAAAAAUAGAGUAAAAACAUGCUCUUUAAGCUAAAACUAAAGGAAAAUUACUAUGCAGAGACACUCCUCAUAAGAAAUCCAAGAGACUACCCUGAGAAGCAGAAGUAUCAGUUUUUAUUAGAAGUAUGGAGGCUUGAAUUGUGAAUAAAUACUUUUAUAUUUAAGGAAAUAAGGAUGUAC
rnacentral:lncRNA from 1 species